AGCUCACUUCAGCAGCUUUUAUUGGAAAUUGGAACAAUACAGAGAUUAGCAUGGUCUUUAUGCCAGGAUGGCAUGCAAAUUCAUGAAGGGUUCCAUGUUUUU